rnacentral:rRNA from 1 species
AGUGAACGCUGGCGGUAGGCCUAACACAUGCAAGUCGAACGGCAGCACAGUAAGAGCUUGCUCUUACGGGUGGCGAGUGGCGGACGGGUGAGGAAUACAUCGGAAUCUACUUUUUCGUGGGGGAUAACGUAGGGAAACUUACGCUAAUACCGCAUACGACCUACGGGUGAAAGCAGGGGAUCUUCGGACCUUGCGCGAUUGAAUGAGCCGAUGUCGGAUUAGCUAGUUGGCGGGGUAAAGGCCCACCAAGGCGACGAUCCGUAGCUGGUCUGAGAGGAUGAACAGCAACAGUAUAACUGAGACGCGCGACAGACGCCUACGGGAGGCAGCAGGGGGGAAGAGUGCACAAUGGGCGCAAGCCGGAUGCAGCCAUGCCGGGUGGAUGAAGAAGGCCUUCUGGUUGUAAAGUACUUUCAGCGGGGAGGAAGGGAGUAAAGUUAAUACCGUUGCUCAUGGACGUUACACGCAGAAGAAGCACCGGCUAACGCCGUG